rnacentral:rRNA from 1 species
AAGCAGAGAUUUUAACUCGUACCUUUUGCAUCAUGAUUUAGCUAGUAAUAUCCAGGCAAAGAGAACUUUAGUCUGGCCCCCCGAAACUAAGUGAGCUACUCCAAGGCAGCCUAUUAAUAGGGCACACCCGUCUCUGUGGCAAAAGAGUGGGAAGAACUUUGAGUAGAGGUGACAGACCUACCGAACUUAGUUAUAGCUGGUUGUUUGAGAAAUGAAUAGGAGUUCAGCCUCGCGGCUUCUUCACUCACCCCUGUCCUACUCCCUACAGACCUUCUGAGAAACCGCGAGAGUUAGUCAAAGGGGGUACAGCCCCUUUGAAAAAGAUACAACUUUCCCAGGUGGGUAAAGAUCAUAAUAACCUAAAGUAAAAUGCUUUGGUGGGCCUAAAAGCAGCCAUCCCCUUAGAAAGCGUUAAAGCUCAGGCAUAUCAUUUACCUCAUUAUUCUGAUAAUUUAUCUCAACCCCCUAAUUUUACCAGACCGCCCCAUGCAACCAUGGGAGAGACCAUGCUAAUAUGAGUAACAAGAGGGCCAGACCCUCUCCCUGCACACGUGUAAUUCGGAACGGACUAACCACCGAAUCCUAACGGCCCCAAACAAAGAGGGUAAUGAAUGACAGACCAAACAACAAGAAAAGUCUUCAGCUUCUGACCGUUAACCCCACACUGGUGUGCCCAUAGGGAAAGACUAAAUGAAAAAGAAGGAACUCGGCAAACACAUGAAGCCUCGCCUGUUUACCAAAAACAUCGCCUCUUGCAAAUAAAGAAUAAGAGGUCCCGCCUGCCCUGUGACUAUAAGUUUAACGGCCGCGGUAUUUUGACCGUGCGAAGGUAGCGCAAUCACUUGUCUUUUAAAUGAAGACCUGUAUGAAUGGCAUAACGAGGGCUUAGCUGUCUCCUUUUUCAAGUCAAUGAAAUUGAUCUCCCCGUGCAGAAGCGGGGAUAAAACCAUAAGACGAGAAGACCCUGUGGAGCUUUAGACACUAGGGUAAAUCAUGUUAAACAUCCCUAAACAAAGGGCUAAACCAAAUGAAAAUUACUCCCAUGUCUUUGGUUGGGGCGACCGCGGGGAAACACAAAACCCCCACGUGGAAUGGGACUACUCCCUCCUACAACUCAGAGCUUCCGCUCUAAUUAACAGAAUUUCUGACCAGCAAGAUCCGGCAACGCCGAUCGACGAACCGAGUUACCCCAGGGAUAACAGCGCAAUCCCCUUUUAGAGUCCAUAUCGACAAGGGGGUUUACGACCUCGAUGUUGGAUCAGGACAUCCUAAUGGUGCAGCCGCUAUUAAGGGUUC